CCUACGGGAGACAGCAGUGGGGAAUAUUGGGCAAUGGGCGCAAGCCUGACCCAGCAACGCCGCGUGAAGGAAGAAGGCUUUCGGGUUGUAAACUUCUUUUGUCAGGGACGAAGCAAGUGACGGUACCUGACGAAUAAGCCACGGCUAACUACGUGCCAGCAGCCGCGGUAAUACGUAGGUGGCAAGCGUUAUCCGGAUUUACUGGGUGUAAAGGGCGUGUAGGCGGGACUGCAAGUCAGAUGUGAAAACCACGGGCUCAACCUGUGGCCUGCAUUUGAAACUGUAGUUCUUGAGUGCUGGAGAGGCAGACGGAAUUCCUAGUGUAGCGGUGAAAUGCGUAGAUAUUAGGAGGAACAUCAGUGGCGAAGGCGAAUAUCUGGCAAAUAACUGACGCUGAGGAGCGAAAGCGUGGGUAGCAAACAGGAUUAGAUACCCUAGUAGUC
rnacentral:rRNA from 1 species